GAGUGCGCUCAUACCAACAUUAAAGCAUUAGAUCUUAUCAAAACUCUGAAAUAAAGUGUGCUUGGGAGAGAGUCCUUGUGUUGCACUUC
rnacentral:rRNA from 1 species